rnacentral:lncRNA from 1 species
AAGGGGUAGAAAAGGUCUAAUGUUAUUGUCCCCCAGCACCAGAUGAUUUAAGCUAGAUCCAUUGCUUCACUGCUGGUUCCUCAUGGCAAGAACCUUGGCCAAAGCCGGCCAGGCCAUGAUGUCGGCCACCCAAGCGCUCACCUUGGGGCGGGCGUCGAACAGCUUCUUCACAGGUGUCCCCAUCAGGCUGGUCAGGGCCGGGAGGUGGUGGAGGUCGGCCAGGGUGAAGCAGUCGCAGCCUAGGUACUUGGACUGGCUCAGGCGGACCUCGUAGAUGUCGAGGACCUUGGCGAGCUUGGCCUCGUUCUCCUCGACUACUGCAGCAUCCGUGGCCAUGCCAAUUUUCGACUUGUACACGAGCUCCCGAUGCAGCUUCGACGCCGCCGGGUCAAACUGGUGGGCCUCGACUUCCAUCCACACGCUCACGGUUGCCAUGGGUUCGCCCUCGCAAACGAGGGGAGUGCCCUUGUCCUCGUAUACGUGAGCAAUGUAUUGAGUAAUUGCCCUCGAUUCUGCCACCACAAAGAGCAUAAUCAAGACAAACUAUAUUUCGCCUAGUUGUUUAUUGUUCUGUUGACUGAGUGAACAGUCAAAGAUUGACUAAACACUUGAUCUUUCAUCAUGAUUGCACGAUCUAUCGGCAAUCGAAUCAGCGCCCUUUGACUAAAUACUUUAAUCUUUAAUGAUGGUCACACAAUAUAAUACAUCAGUAAUAGAAAGACUUACCGAAUAGCUUCAAAUCUCCGUCCUCGAAGACCGGGACUUGACCGAAAGGCUGCACAGAGAGAUCGAGAAACGUUAGAUCCAAGAGACGACGGAGGAUUUCUUGAAAGACCACGUCGAGACCCCAGGACCAGAAAAUAGUUAGGAAUACUGUGGCACGGGCGGUGGGCGGGGACGGACACUUACGUUGAGGGCGAGGAAAUGCUCCUUCUUGUGCUCGCCGGCUCGCAAGUUGACGAAGACGAACUCGAACUCGAGGUCCUUCUCGUGGAGGGCAAUGAGGAGCCGCAUCGUCGGGGCGGAGAAGACGCUUCCGUGGACCUUCGUAGCCAUGUUCCUGUCCGUCGGCGAGAUUCUUAUCUCCCAUUCUUGGAAAGGAGAUACUAUUGUUGUAUUAUUCUUAUUUCCUUUUUCUGCUAAAUUCCACUAGAGGUGAGCAUUGGAUCGACCCUGGAUCGGCCCAACCCUAUUGGUCCUAAUCCGGUUCCUAGGGAGACUGGGUUAGUUUUUAGUCCUAGAAUUUCUAGACCAGUACUGUGCGGGUCAGUUCUCGAUCAGUCCAACCCGGAUCAACCCUGACUCUCUAUAUAUAUAUAUAAUAUUAUUUAUAAUUUUUUUAUAUAGAGAAAACCCUAAAAUAAAUAGUGUCAACAGCAUUAAAUGGCUAUUUAGUAAUGAGUUCAAGUAAUUUUACAUUAUUCUUUAAUAACUUGAAAAUCAUAAUUUAUGAAGGAGGAAAAUGUUUUUGUGAGAAGUCCUCACGGUGUCCAAAAAAGUAUAAACAGCUCCUUAUGGCAUCCCCUAUAGUAUUUGUUCUCUUCUGUCUUAUUUGUUAUCUUAAUCUUCAAUUUGUCAAAAUCGAAAUAAACAACUUCUCCACUCGCCACUCGACACUCACCUUGCUCGCUUUAGGUCAUUCGUGCCACUCGCCGCUUGAUUCUCACUUGGCUUGCUACUCCCCGCUCAACAUUCGAUGCUCAUUCUUUCGACGCUCACCCCACUUAACCCUUAAUGCUUGCCUUUCUUAACUGACCUUACUUAUCAUCGAACUCAUUGGGUUAGUACGGUCAUUGGUUGCCAUUUCAAAGAGUACAAAAAAUAAAAUAAAAAUUAUUAGUUGGUUCUAGGUUGACCUGGAAACCGGACUAAACCCAUUGAGUCAAUCCGGUCUUUAAUGGCUUUUUUAAGAAGUACAAAAAAUGAAAUAAAAAAUUAUCGGUUGGUCUCGGGUUGACCCUGGAAUCAGACCAAACCCAUUGGGUCGGUCCGGUCCUCGGUUCCAAGCUCAAUUAGGUCGGUCAUCGGUCCUAAAAAUUGAGGACUAGCACUGUGCAGGUUGGUCCUAGGGUUAGGGGGUGGAUCGGUCCAACCCGAACCAUGCUCACUCCGAAAUUCCACACCAUCUAUCAUGGCACUACUUUUUUCGUGGUCUGAAAGCUUCUCAGAAAAUGAAAUACAUCGGUGGCAGUUGGGAUUGGACCGCCUAAACUUGAAACUGUGUGGAUUCUACCAGCCGAUUUGGUCCAAUACUAAAGCAAUGAGAAAAAAAAAACAAUCAGUUCCAUUAGACCGGAUCAGAAUUGAACCGAAUCGGUGAUGUGGUCCGAUUUCCGAUUCUAAGACCAAUCGAUCCAAUCCUUAGUUCUUAUUUUUGGGAACAUGACUGUCUCUUGGUCCGAUUUCCAAUUUCACCUUGGAACUGGAUCGGAUUGAGAACCGAUCACCCUUACUUGAAAGGAGACAACAAAUCCCUAUGCAACAGGUAGGCAUAGCAAUAAGUUACUCAUGCGAAACGUGCCUCUACUCAGAAGGAUAAUUUUUUGAAAAGCAAAAAGGCAAUUCUCUCUUUAGAAAGACUUUGAGAAAACAUUAAUUAUGUUUCAAAAAUGAGAAAGAAUGGAAAGAUUUUUCGGGUGGGUCGAAAAUAUAGAAAACUUCUAAUUUUACUUAAGGCAUAAAAAGAGUGUAAAAUUUUUUCCCCUUUUUUUGGAAUUUUCUUCUCUCUUCCAUUGACCAUGAUUGCAAACAUAAGGAAAGGGCUAAAAGUUGAAUUUGAUUUCUUUUUUGUCGAAGAAAAUUUUAUUGAAAUUACGAACAUGGUCUAAAGAGCUCGGAGCAAGGCCAAUCUAAACAAAGGAGGGCCCAAAGGCUUUAAGGAGGAAAAGAAAGCCGGUUUUGUGGAAGUGAGCCAAUCCGUCAUGUCUUCGCAGCUCAGUCGGUUACCGCAUUAGAAGCCCGCGAACAAUGGACUAUGCAAAUGGAUGGAUGGGCCUUGAGUAGCUGUAAAAAAUUCACGAUAAGAAGUCGCUCCUCCCGGUUGAAAUUAUCUGUAAACCCGCUUAUCAAAGCUUCCACGAGAUCGGCAUGGUUGAGCUCAAUUGCAUGGUUUGCGGGACCAUCUUCACUCAAAACUACAAGCUGGAUUGCUUCAAGGACGGCUAGGGCUUCCACCUAAGAAGGUGAUGAUAUCUUCACCAAUUUGGGGAAAGCCGUAAUAAUAAUACAAGCACGAUCUCUGUAGAUACCAGCUAUGACGCCAUCCACCAAUCCAUUGACAAGGGAGCCAUCAACAUUGGAUUUUAGGAUUUUCUCCUCCAAUGAGAGCCUAGGUAUACAACUUAUAAAGGUGGGAUCUUUUAUUGUAUUUGAUGUAUGAAAGAUCCAUUUUAAGUAAUUUGGUCGCUAGAAAUAUGUUGAUUGCAUGGCAUGUCGUGCAUUCGGAAAUUUGCCCUGAAAUACAUUAUAAAAAGAAGACAUUAAUGAACUUCUAUGAAAUGGCUUCAUGGGAUUCAGGCAAUUGUCUUGAUCAUGGGAUAUCAUUGAGACAUAGGAAUCCGUAUUAUUAAAAGAUUUCCUACAAUUAUUUCUAGUAUGGAAUGAAUCAAUCAUCCACUUUGGUAUCUUAGGGUCCGUUUGUUUCGCGGAAAACAAUUUCCGGGAAAAUAUUUUCCAAAAUUACCGAUGUACCGAUGGCGGAAAAUAGGUAGUCAAAGAAAAUGUACCGAUGGAGAUCCUAAUAUUGUGAAAAAUGAUUUCUUCUUUUGAAAAGAGGAAAACAUUUUCCAUAACUUCUUCCACCUUGUUUCUUUUCACCAACACAUUUAUGCUUUCUUUUUCUUUCUUGUUUUUUUUAAUCGAGUUUUUAAUUUUUUUUCCUUUUCUUUUUUUCUUUUCUUCCUUGGUGGCCGUUUCAUCUUCUUCCUUGGUGGUCGGUUGCCAGCCACGGCGGCGGCCGGCAAUCGGCUGCAAGCCAGCUUGAGCCUUGCCCCAGGCUAGCAAGGCUUCGCCUAGCCCAAUCUGGCGAAGGGAGCUCGCCCAAUCCUUGCGAGCUUGGGCCUCGCCAAAUCGGGCGAGGCAGAGCCUUGCCGACUUAGGGUAGAGCUCGAACCUCGCCAGAUCCAGCGAGCUAGGUGAGGCUCGGGCCUCGCCCGAGCUCGCCAGAGGUUUGCCAGGCUCUAGUGAGCCGUGAGCUUGCCGAAUCUGGCAACGAAGCUUGGGCUCAUGAUCCAUAGGAACCCGAGCUCCACUGCCAGAUCGACAAGCUCGAGCGAGAUUGGCCGAGCCUCAAGUUCGUCGGAUCUGGCGACUAGGUGUUGGUCGGCCGCCAGGUAGCCGACCAUCAUCAGGCAUGCGGCAGUGGAGGAAGGUGGAGCCGGGAGGAAGAAAGAGGAGGAAGAAGGAAGGAAAAAAGAAAAAGAAAGAAAUAAUAAAAAUUUCGAUUUUUUAAAAAUAGAAAUAAUUAAAAUUUUAUUUUAAAAAAAUAUAAAAAAAUAAAACUAAUUUUUUAGUCAAUUAAAAAUAUUAAAAUUCAAUUUUUGAUAAUCUUUCCCAAACAAUUAAAUUAGCUAACGAAUGGUGGAAAAUAUUUUCCACUUGAAGUUUUGGUUUCGGCCAAACACCGGAAAAUAGUCAUUUUCCUGGAAAAUGACUUUUAGGAAAAUGUUUUCCGGAAACAUAUUUUCCAUGAAACGAACGGACUCUUAUUGAACAAAAAUGGUGAUAUUGUUCCUUGAUUGAUCAAUAAUUACGAUUUUUGGGAAGUAUCAUGAUCAUAAAAAAAUAAUGGCUUCCAUUUUUACAAAUGAACAAUUUGAAGACCUAUUGAUUCUAACAACUAAUUGCAGAGUUGAUCAUUCGGAUCUUUCAAUUCAUAGACAUGGAUCUCGAACCUAUGAAUGGGGGUAUUCACGAAACUCACAAAGAAAAAAAGGAAGUGAGUUAGACAAAAAAAAAAGAAGAGGAAACUUGGACAAAAUGAAACGAAGUGACUUAGACAAAUCUUUUUUGUUGAGAACCUUAGACCAAUCAAUCAAAUAUUGAUUAAUACUUAAUUGAUCAAAGACUACUUGAAAACGGCUCUUUAGCUUAGAAACAAAAUGUUCCAAAUGUUCUUGGAAAUUCUUGCUCCCAUUGGACCAUUUGUAUUUAUAUGUAUUAGGAUAUCGAUUCACAGAUCUCUCAGUUCAAGAAAUAAAAAUAAGAGGAUUGAACAAUUUCUUCUAACUAUUUUUCAAAUUCGAUAAAUGUAGGUUGAUCUUAUAUUUCAUUAUCGUUUUAUGAUUCAAAGUAUCAUUUCAUAUUUGAUCCCUUUGAAUUCCAUAUCCAAAAUUGCAAUCGGAUUCAUUCAUUAAAAAGAAUCAGUUCCAUACAUUUCUUAUGUACCCAUAGGUGCUAUAUUGGAUUUGAAUUAGAUUUCGGAUCCAUCUAUAUUGAUUAACUGUCUCAUUAUGUUGUUACUAGUAAAUACCAUUAUUUUUUGUUUUGGAUCUUUCAAAUCAUUUUCGCAUGAGAUCCGAACCCAUUUUUUCUAAUCUUUCAAUAAAAAGAUUCAUUUUCUUCAAAAAAGAGAGGAGGUAGAACCAAUAAAGAUUUCUUUUUCAAUUCAUCCCUGGAUUUGAAUACCUCAUUAAAGAAUUAUUUUUGAUCUAAUACGUAAGAAUCCAUAGAUAAGGCAAAUCCUUUAAGAUACAUCAAAUCUAGCUCACUUAUUGAUAGAGUAAAUAGAUCUGCCAUUAUUUGAAAUCUCUCUUCUGAUUCAAAAUCGUGGUGUAAUGUGUAUCAACCUUGUUUCGGUCAUGAAAUAGACGAAAUAAAUCAAAAAAAUGUAUUUUUGUUUAAGAAUGAAAUCUUAUGGAAACUGUGCAUAUCCAGUUCAUCCUUUAGAAUCAUAUCACAUCCCGGAUCUGAUGAAAUAUGAUGAAUUGAGACAAUACUUUGUAAAUACAUAAUUAUCUUAUAUAUAUUAACUAUAUCUUUAUUUUAUGAUCGUUUGGAAAGGACAAAAGAAACAUCUUGUUCUUUCUUCAACAAUUUUUUAUCUCUAGUGGGCCUCUUAGUAGGAUUCCAACCUAGAUGAAGUUUUGACCAUCUGUCAAAGAAAAAAGAAAGAAUGGAUCUUGUAGAAUUCCCAAGAAAUUCUUCGAUUUUUUUCGGAAGCAAAUGAUUCUUCAUCUCUUUCUCACAUUUCGUGAAUAGUUGGGAAUAUCUAGAAAGGCAUUUAGAGAAUCGGUCUGAUUCUAACUCUGUUCGUUUCGUUUGAAGAAAUGAAGGAUCCCAAAGAAUCAAUCUUUCUUUUAGUUGUUGAAUCUCUCUUUGAUUGAUCAAUGUAUGAUAUUCUGAAUCCUUAUUACUAAUGGAAUCGAAAUGAUCUCUGGAUUGAUCAAAAGAUCCUUUUAAUUGGCUAGAAUCCGUUAUUUGAACAAAACUAGAUCUUGUACAAUCAUAUUGAAUAUUUGACGAUACAUUUUGUAACUUGUUAAAAAAUCGGUCCUUGUUUACCAACCACACAUUGUCUAACCAAAUUCAAUUCUCUCUCAAUAUGUUCCUCAAAAAAUCUGAUUCGAGUAUUCUUCCCCUAGCUGACAAAGAGAUCUUGGCGGAAUUGCUACAUAUGAAAUUGAGCACAAUUUUCCAAAAAAAUAGCCCACUUCUUUCUCGAGAAGAGAUGGGAAAUAGGCUUAAUAUCAUUUGAUUGAAUAGUUGACCCAGCUCCUUGUUGUUUGAGGAAACCCUCCACUUCAAUUGGUAUUUUUUUCACGAAAAGCAAACAUGAGAAAACAAAUCUAGUCUUUAACUAAGAUUUCGAAUAGCUAUCACGAAUUCAAAUUAAUUAUGUUUCGUCUCUUACUUGGAGAAAGAUGAUCCAAAAUUCCCAAUCACAGUACUUGCAGAUCGGAUCAUCCAUAUAAUAUACAAAAAGAAACUCCAAAUAUUUAAUAUCUUUUCCUUUGAAUGAUAUCUCAAUUCCAACAAUGGUUUCAUUAGAUAUCUUACAACUAGAAUCAUCUUUUUUCCGCUCCAAUUCCUCCAACACUGCAAACCCAAGUUAAAUCCAGGCAUGAUACAUUUUUUUGUGAUUGGGAGAACUCAAUUACUCUCUUUCGGAUCUAGGAAAAAGCUCUCAGAGAUCUUUUUUUCCUUUUGGAAGAUAAAGGAGCCAAACGAUCAACCUAUUGAUAUUGGAAGAUCCAAAAGAUUCUUCCAAUGUAUCAUUUCUAGGUCUAAUGGAAUUCAUAGGUAUAGGAAAAAGCCCUAUUAAAUAGAGAUUUUUUCUUUCGGCCAUAUUUCAAUUAUUAAUACAGUAUAUAAGGACUACUACUACAAAUAGUACUACACCAUUGAUCGUGAAAUAUCAAGUGCUUGUUGAAUCCUGUGAAUUGCGUGAAAGUAGGAUACUCCAAAUUCGGGGGUCUAGGAGUUUUAUAAAAUGUUCUUGGUGAAAAAAAAUGUGGAUGAAAGAUCCUACGAAAUUGAAUUGGGUGCAUGAAUCUAAGAAAUAGUGAGAAUUAUGGAUCUCUCUCAAUUCGAAAAUCCAGGAUUUGAAUUGACAUCCUUUCAUUGAUUUCUCCUAAAUUGAAUUAAUUUCUCCUAAAGAUUUCAUUUCAAUUGGAAUUUGGUUACUCACCAUGUACGAGGAUCCCUGCUAAGCAUCCAUGGUUGAAUGGUUAAAGCACUCAACUCAUAAUUGGCGAAUUCGUAGGUUAAAUUCCUACUGGAUGCACGCCAAUGGGACACUACAAUAAAUCUAUUGGAAUUGACUCUAUGUCAAUGGAAUCUAAUCAUCCAUACAUAACGAAUUGAUGUGGUAUGUUAAUAUACCUUUAAUGUCAACUUUAAUGAAGAAUCAAGAUCAAGUAGGACAGAAAUAAAGCAUUGGGUCGAACUCUUCUGAAAUGGUAGAAGAAUAGGACCUAUUCUCAGUAGAAGAAUGGGACCUAUACAGGGACAUAUAAAGCAUUACAGACGUAUGAUCAUUACACUUCAACUGGGUUAUUCUAUUCCACCUCUUAAAAAGAAAAGAACUUAAAUCAAAAUGGUUAAUAUUAAUAGCAUAGCAAUAUAUUUAUACAAAACUUCUACCCCCAAGCACCCCAAGCACACGCAAUGGAGCCGUAAACAAUCAAGUGAAAUUCAAUACACAAAAUAAUUUGAUCUAUGGACAGCAUCAUUGUAAUAAAGGUCGUAAUGCCAGAGGAAUCAUUACCACAUGGCAUAGAGCGGGAUUUUCAGAUAGUCUAAUGAGUUGUAGUCGCCGUGGGUAAUUUUACAUUUGAUUUACAAUGCACUACUUAUAAGUAAAAUGAGAAAAAUGGUGCAUUGAAAACUGCAUAAUUUUCUUUAUAUUUUUUUAACAAGUUUUUUUUUUGUAUAUUUUUUUAACAAGUUCAUAAAAGCACUUUUAAACAAAGUCCAAUUUGGAUAGGAGAAUUUUCAUUUGGCCCCACCAUUUUGAUCAUUUGCUUGCAGCCAUGCAAAGAAAGUGACCAGAUUUGGCCCAUAAAUUAUAAACAAGUUGAUAAAGACUUAAGUGGAAAGGACAAAUAGUAACUUCAACUCAAAUAUUUCCCAGCCUGAGAGUUUCUUAGUAGAUCCACUGUUCCAUGUCGUGAGAUCAGCCUUUUGGAUGAGGAAUGAGUAGUGUGCAAAAAUCAAGAAUUCAUUGUGCAAUUGGCACGCGCCUACCCUACCAGAGCAGCCAUGGCCUGGAUCCGGAAGAAACUUGUGGUGGCCAUGAUGGUGAGCUCGACGGAGCUCAAGUGGCCAGCUCAAAGCAGGGACAGUGGGAGGGUGUCUUCUGGUUUCUUAUCAUUUUUAUCGUAUCCUUUUUUUCUUUCUCUAAACUUUUUAUUUUUUUCUUUCUCUAAACUUUUUAUUAUAAAAUCUUUUAAUUCUUUUCCAGACGGGGCGUUAGGUAGAGUCAGCUUUUUUUUUUUUUUUUAGGUAGAGUCAGCUUUUAGUCGGUCAAAUCAUUGAAUUAAUAAAAAUGUUCAUUAUACAAAUUUGAAUAGGAUUCAGUCGUACUAUUCAAAAGUUUUAGGUCAAUUACAUUUGCUUGAUGAAUUUUAGAAUUACUGAUGUAGGUAUCCAUGUGUAAAGGUAAUACUCAUCCAUGGAUAUAGUCCAGUGAACUUCUAUGGUACUUUAACAGAUGAAAGCGGGUGAAGCUUUCGUGACUAGUAGGGAAACUGUAGGCCAUCCUAUGGAGAUGAUGAGAGGAGAGCUUUGUAAUCAGUAAAGAUAAUACCAGCACUUGCAGCAAUCAUUACACUCUAAUGAAACUAGAAAGAUGAGACAUACAAGCCAAUGACUCAUGAAACAUAACUCUGCAUCUGUCCAAUCUUUUUAUUGCUCAUAAUAGAAAAUCACAGAACCGGAAGUUCAGUUCUGUGAAACACCAGCCUGGUCAUCAUCUCCAACUUUGAUGAUUGAAGACAACCCAUAAGAGAAAAUCCCACAUAAAACAUUGACCCAACAAGGACAGAAUCAACAACGAAAUACAGCUAACAACUCAUAUAAAAAGGGGUAGGAAAGGUCUAAUGUUACGGUCCCCCAGCACCAGAUAAUUUAAACUAGACCCCUUUGCAUCACUGCUGGUUCCUCAUGGCAAGAACCUUGGCCAAAGCCGGCCGGGCCAUGAUGUCGGCCACCCAAGCGCUCACCUUGGGGCGGGCGUCGAACAGCUUCUUCACAGGUGAAGCCAUCAGGUUGGUCAGGGCCGGGAGGUGGUGGAGGUCGGCCAGGGUGAAGCAGUCGCAGCCCAAGUACUUGGACUGGCUCAACCGGGCCUCGUAGAUGUCGAGGACCUUGGCGAGCUUGGCCUCGUUCUCCUCGACUACUGCGGCGUCCGUGGCCAUGCCGAACAUCGGCUUAAACAGGAGCUCCCACUGCAGCUUCGACCCCACCGGGUCAAACUGGUGGGCCUCGACCUCCAUCCACACGCCCAAGGUCGCCAUGGGUUUGCCCUCGCACACGAGGGGAGUGCCCUUGUCCUUGUAUACAUUAGCUAUGUAUUGAGUAAUUGCCCUUGAUUCUGCCACCACAAAGAACAAAAUCAAGAUGUAAACCAUGCUUCGCGUAGUUGUUUCUUGUUCAGUUGACGAAUUGAACAGUCAAAGAUUGACUAAACACUUGAUCCUUCAUCAUGGUCGCAUGAUCUAUCAGCAAUCGAAUCAGCACCCUUUGACUAAAUACUUUCAUCUUUCAUGAUGGUCACACAGUAUAAUACACCACGAACAGAAAGACUUACCGAAUAGCUUCAAAUCUCCGUCCUCAAAGGCCGGGACUUGACCGAAAGGCUGCACAGAGAGAUCCAGAAACGUUAGAUCUGAGCGAGACGAAAGAGGGUUUCUUGAAAGAGCACAUUCAGACCCCCCAAGACCGAAAAUCUGCGAGUAUAAAGGUCGAACUGGUGGUGGGCAGGUAAGGAGACUUACGUUGAGGGCGAGGAAGUGCUCCUUCUUGUGCUCGCCGGCCCGCAUGUCGACGGGGACGAACUCGAACUCGAGGCCCUUCUCGUUGAGGGCAAUGAGUACCCGCAUAGCCGCGGUGGAUAAGACGCUUCCGUGGACCUUCAUCACCAUGGUGGCUGGCUCUGCUUUCUUUUCUUUAUCUCUCUCUCUCGAAGGCUAAAUGCAGAACAGAUGUGGCGAAAGAGGGUGGGUUUUGGGCUCUUUUUAUAAGGGUUUCAGGAUCUCGUUCUGGAAUGAUCCAAUUGACUUUUAAAAUUCGAUUUUUCUUUCCCAUUCAACGAGAUAAUUUUGCUUUUUUUAUCUUUGUUGUUUAUACUUAGGAGAUGGAGAUGCAAAAAUGGCUCCUUGUCGGAUGAAGAGAGAGAGAGAGAGAGAGACGGACGCGACGAUUCCUGAGAAGCCAUUUUGAUAUUCAUCUCGCACUUUCUUCUCUUCAUUCGAUGUCUGAACAGAUCAAAAGAAAGGCGCAGACACCUACGUGCGCACGUCAUGCGGCGAGUAGCUCGUGCCAAAAGCGCCUAUCUACCGACCCAAAAAAAAGAAGCGCCUAUCUACCGACAAAAAAGAAAAAAAAAGCGCCUAUCUUGGGAAGGAAGAUACAUUUAGGGGAUAUUUGGUAGCUAUCUAAAUAGUAUCUGAUUCUGAUUUUUUCUUUCUGAAAGUAAUUUUGAAAUGGAAUCUCGUUUGGUAAAAUUUUUGUUCCAGAAAUAAAUUUAUAUUUUUCUUGUUCUCGAAAAUAGAUUUGAAAUAGAAUCAAGAAUAAAAAAAAAAAUUGACUCUUAUUCUAUAAACAAAUCUAAAAAUCAAAAUCAACUUUUCUUCUUCUUCUUUUUUCUUCUUCUUCAUCAACCGACAUCCCGCAAAUACUAUCCGCCGCCGUCCACCAUCGUUCGCUACCGGUCGCCGACAACCGGUCCGGCGAGCACCGAAGGCUCGCCAGGCCAAGACGAGGUCCAGCGAGCUCGCUGAGGCUUAGGCUUGGCCUUACCAGAUUUAGCGAGGUCGAGCCUUGCCCAACUACCGGCGAUGCUCGGCCAACGAGGGCCAACAAAACUUCAAUGAGGUCGCCAGCCACAAGAAGAAGAAGAAGAAGAAGAAGAAGAAGAGAAAAAAUGGGAAAAAAAGUAAAAAUGAAAAAAAAUAAUUGAUUUGGAACAGAAUCAAUAAGCAUGAUACCAAACGCAAUUCUAUUCCAAAAUCAGAAAUUUUAAAUAAUUAUUAAAUGGCUUAAAAUGUUUAGAAAUUGUUCCUAAGAAUAGAAUAAAAAAUAAUCAUUUCUGAUUAGAAUUUGUUCUCGAGAAUAAAAUCAUUACCAAACACACUCCUAAAGGGCGAGGAUGUAACUCCACUCUUCAGAAAAGACUUUGAGAAAACGUGAAUCAUGUUUCAAAAAAUGGAUUACUACAAAUGUAUCAUGCAGUCCCUAAAAUUUAAUUUUGUACAACGUGAUCCGUGAGUUUUUAUUAUAUAAUAUCAUUUCUAAAUUUUUAAUUUAUUUUAUAUAAUCUUUACAUUAUUGAUAAAUAUUUAGUAUAAUCUUUAAAUUAUAUGAAUUUGUUUAAAAAUUUAUUAUCUAAAUUCUAGAUUCGAACAUAUUGAGAAAGUUUGACCAUACGUUGGAUUUUUUAAUAGAAUAUUAGACACGUGUUGGAGUAUCUAAUAUGACUCAAAAACUCUGGAGAAUGUCGACGUUUCCCAUAGCAGAGUUAGCUUUUUUGAUUGGUCAAAUCAAACAAAUUAAUAAAAAAUUUUAUUAUACAUUUUAAAAUAUUAGGGGUCAAUUACACGACAAAAUUUAAAAUUUCCGAUGCAUAUAUCCCUUAGUGUAAAGGCAGUACUCAUCCAUGAAUAAAGUGCAGUGAACUAGGCGAAGCUUUAGGGAAGCCUUAGGCCAUCCCAUGGAGAUGAUGAGAGGAGGGGUUUUCAUCAGUAGAGAUAAUACCAGCACUUGCAGAAAUCAUUACAUUCUAAUGAAACUACAAAGAUGAGGCAUAUAAAACAAUGACCCAUGAAACAUAAUUUUGCAUCUGUCCAAUCUUUUUAUUGCUCAUAAUAGAAAAUCACAGAACUUGCAGUUCGGCGAAACGCCAGCCUGGUCAUCAUCUCCGACUUUGAUGAUUGAAGACGACCCUUCAGAGAAAAUCCCACAUAAAACAUUGACCAAAGGAGGAUAGAAUCGACAGCAAAAUACGAUUACCAACUCAUAUAGAAAGGGGUAGAAAAGGUCUAAUGUUAUCGUCCCCUAGCACCAGAUGAUUUAAGCUAGACCCAUUGCUUCACUGCUGGUUUCUCAUGGUAAGAACCUUGGCCAAAGCCGGCGGGGUCACGAUGUCAGCCACCCAAGCACUCACCUUCGGGCGGGCGUCCAAUAGCUUCUUCACAAGUGUCCCCAUCAGGCUGGUCAAGGCCGAGAGGUGGUGGAGGUCAGCCAGGGUGAAGCAGUCGCAGCUUAAAUACUUGGACUGGCUCAGCCGAGCCUCGUAGAUGUCGAGGACCUUGGCAAGGUUGGCCUCCUUAUCCUAGAUGGGCUAAGUCAAACGGGUUUUUCAUUUGAUGGGUCAAGUUAAGUCUGUUCGCCCACUCAGCCCAUAAAAGGAAAAUACAGUUAUUUUCUAAGUGAAAAUAACUGUAAUAUAUAAAAUAAAAAUUAAAUGUUCAGAGAGAAAACACGUUUCUCCAUUUUCUUCUCUUUGAAACAGUUCACUCUCUCUUGAAGAAGGAGAAUUCUGAGAUUGCAACAAUGUUUUUUUGAACAUGUUUCUGCGUUCGUUUUUUAUAUUCGAUCGUUUGAGUAUCAGUUCGAUUUUCAGAAAUCUAUUUGCCGCAUCCUUGACUACUGCAGCAUCCGUGGCCAUACCAAUUUUCGACUUGUACACGAGCUCCCAAUGCAGCUUCGACGCUGCCGGGUCAAACUGGUGGGCCUCGACUUCCAUCCACGAGAAAAUAUUGGCUUUGCCCUCGCAAACGAGGGAGCGCCCUUGUCCUCGUAUACGUGAGCAAUGUAUUGAGUAAUUGCCCUCGAUUCUGCCACCACGAAGAGCAUAAUCAAGACAUAAACUAUAUUUCGCGUAGUUGUUUCUUGUUCUGUUGACUGAGUGAACAGUCAAAGAUUGACUAAACACUUGAUCUUUCAUCAUGAUUGCACGAUCUAUCGGCAAUCGAAUCAGCGCCCUUUGACUAAAUACUUUCAUCUUUCAUGAUGGUCACACAAUAUAACACAUCAGUAAUAGAAAGACUUACCCAAUAGCUUCAAAUCUCCGUCCUCAAAGGCCGGGACUUGACCGAAAGGCUGCACAGAGAGAUCGAGAAACGUUAGAUCCAAGAGACGAAGGAGGUUUUCUUGAAAGACCACGUCGAGACCCCACGACCAGAAAAUAGUUAGGAAUACUGUGGCACGGGCGGUGGGCGGUGAUGGAGACUUAAGUUGAGGGCGAGGAAAUGCUCCUUCUUGUGCUCGCCGGCUCGCAAGUCGACGAAGACGAACUCGAACUCGAGGUCCUUCUCGUGGAGGGCAAUGAGGACCCGCAUCGUCGGGGCGGAGAAGACGCUUCCGUGGACCUUCAUCACCAUGAUUGCUCGCUCUGCUUUCUUUUCUUUAUCUCUCUCUCAGAACCUGAACGCAGAACAGCUGUGGCGAUCAAUGGUGGGUCUCGGGCUCUUUUUAUAAGGGCUUCAGGAUCUUGUUCUGGAAUGAUGUAAUUGACUUGAACAUUUCGAUUCUGGUAUGCCCUUCAACGAGAUAAUCUUGCCUUGUAUCUUUUAUUGUUUACAGUUAGCAGGUGGAGAUGACAGUAAUGGCUCCUUGUCGGGAUGUGGGGAGAGGGAGAGAGAGACGCAGGCGAUAAGUCCUCCGUAGCCAUGUUCCUGUCCGUCGGCGAGGUUCUUAUCUCCCAUUCUUGGAAAGGAGAUACUAUUGCUGUACCAUUAUUAUUUCCUAUUUCUGCUAAAUUCAACACCAUCUAUCACGGCCCUACUUUUUUCGUCGUCUGAAAGUUUCUCAGAAAAUGAAAUCCAUCGGUGGCAGUUGGGAUUGGACAGCCUGAACCUGAAACUGCGUGGACUCUACCGGCGGAUUUGGUCCAAUUUAUGAGAAUAUCAAUGUGGUUCCGAUUUUGAGGCAGAAUUGAAUUAGACCGACUAAUUAUUUUUUUAUUUAUUCAAAAAAUUAGUGAAAUAUGAACUAAAUACUAAAGCAAUGAGAAAAAAAAAAAACUAUCGAUUCCAUUAGAUCAUACCAGAAUUGGAUCGAAUCGAUGAUGUGGUCCGAUUUCCAAUUGUAGGACUAAUCGAUCCAAUCCUCAGUUCUAAUUUUUGGGAACAUGACCAUCUCCUAGUCAGAUUUCCGAUUUCACCUUGGAAUUGAAUCGGAUCAGAAACUAAUCACCCUUACUCAAAAGGAGACAACAAAUCUCUGUGUAGUAGGUAGCACAUCAAUAAGUCACUUGUGUGAAACGUGCCUCUACUCAGAAGGAGAAUUUUUUGAAAAUCAAAAAGGCAAUCCUCUCUUUAGAAAGACUUUGAGAAAACAUUAAUUAUGUUUAAGAAAUGAGAGAAAAUGGAAUGAAUUUUCAGGUGGGUUGAAAAUAAAGAAAACUUCUAAUUUUACUUAAGGCAUAAAAAGAGUGGAAAGUGUUUCUUGUUUUCCUUUUCUUUUUCUUUUUUUUGUAAUUUUCUUCUCUCUUCCAUUGACCAUGAUUGCAAACAUAAGGAAAGGACUAAAAGUUGAAUUUGUUCUUCUUUUUUUUAUCGAAGAAAAUUUUAUUGAAAUUACGAACAUGGUGUAAAGAGCUCCGAGCAAGGCGAAUCUGAACAAAGGAGGGCCCAAAGGGUUUGAGGAGGAAAAGAAAGCCGGUUUUGUGGAAGUGAGCCAAUCCAUCAUGUCGGUUACUGCAUUAGAAGCCCGCGAAAAAUGGGCUAUGCGAAUGGAUGGAUGGGCCUUGAGUAGCUUUAUAAAAUUCAUGAUAAGAAGUCACUCCUCCCGGUUGAAAUUAUUCGUAAACCCGCUUACCAAAGCUUCCACGAGAUCGGCAUGGUUGAGCUCAACUGCAUAGUUUGCGGAACUAUCUUCACUCAAAACUACAAGCUGGAUUGCUUCAAGGACGGCUAGGGCUUCCGCCUAAGAAGGUGAUGAGAUCUUCACCAAUUUGGGGAAACCCGUAAUAAUAAUACGAGCACGAUCUCUGUAGAUACCAGCUACGGUGCCAUCCACCAAUUCAUCGACAAAGGAGCCAUCAACAUUGGAUUUUAGGAUUUUCUACUCCAAUGGAACCCAAGUCUGCAACUUAUAAACGUGGGAUCUUUUCUUGUAUUUGAUGUAUGAAAGAUCCAUUUUAAGUAAUUUGGUCGCUAGAAAUAUGUUGAUUGCAUGGUAUGUCGUGCGUUCAGAAAUUUGCCCCGAAAUACAUUAUAAAAAGAAAAUAUCAAUGAACUUCUAUGAAAUUGUUUCACGGAUUCAGGCAAUUGUCUUGAUCGUGAAAUAUCAUUGAGAAAAAGGAAUUUGUAUUAUUAAAAGAUUUCCUGCAAUUAUUUCUAGUAUGGAAUGAAUCAAUCAUCCACUUUGGUAUCUUAUUGAACAAAAAUGGUGAUAUUGUUCCUUGAUUGAUCAAUAAUUUCGAUUUUUAGAAAGUAUCAUGAUCAUCCAAAAAUAAUGGCUUCCAUUUUUACAAAUAAACGAUUUGAAGACCUAUUGAUUCUAACAACUGAUUGCAGAGUUGAUCAUUCGGACCUUUCAAUUCAUAGACGUGGAUCUCGAACCUAUGAAUGGGGUUAUUCAUGAAACUCACAAAGAAAAAAGGAAGUGAGUUAGACAAAAGAAGAAGAAGAAGAAGAAAUUUGGACAAAAAAGAUUUCGAAUAGCUAUCAUGAAUUCAAAUUAAUUAUGUUUAGUUUCUUACUCGGAGAAAGACGAUCCAAAAUUCCCAAUCACGGUACUUGCAAAUCGGAUCAUCCAUAUAAUAUACAAAAAGAAACUCCAGAUAUUUGAUAUAUUUUCCUUUGAAUGAGAUCUCAAUUCCAACGAUGGUUUCAUUAGAUAUCUUACAACUAGAAUCCUCUUUUUUCCGAUCAAAUUCCUCCAGCACUGCAAACCCAAGUUAAAUCCAGGCAUGAUACACUUUUUCGUUAUUGGGAGAACUUAAGUACUCUCUUUCGGAUCCAAGAAAAAGCUCUCGAAGAUCUUAAGAUCUUUCCUUUUGGAAGAUAAAGGAGCGAAAUGAUCAACUUAUUGAUAUUGGAAGACCCAAGACCCAAACGAUUCUUCCAAUGUAUCAUUUCUAGGUCCAAUGGAAUUCAUAGGUAUAGGAAAAUGCCCUAUCAAAUAGAGAUUUUUUUUCUUUCGGCCAUAUUUCAAUUAUUAAUAUGAUAUAUAAGGACUACUACUACAAAUAGUACUACACCCUUGAUCGUGAAAUAUCAAUUGCUUGUUGAAUCUUGUGAAUUGCGUGAAAGUAGGAUACUCCAAAUUCGGGGGUCCAGGAGUUUUAUAAAAUGUUCUUGGUGGAAAAAAAUGUGGAUGAAAGAUCCCAUGAAAUUGAAUUGGGUCCAUGAAUCUAAGAAAUAGUGAGAAUUAUGGAUCUCUCAAUUCGAAAAUCCAGGAUUUGAAUUGAUGUCCUUUCAUUGAUUUCUCCUAAAUUGCAUUAAUUUCUCCUAAAGAUUUCAUUUCAAUUGGAAUUUGGUUAUUCACCGUGUAUGAGGAUCCCUGCUAAGCAUCCAUGGUUGAAUGGUUAAAGCGCCCAACUCAUAAUUGGCGAAUUCGUAGGUUCAAUUCCUAUUGGAUGCAUGCCAAUGGGACACUACAAUAAAUCUAUUGGAAUUGACUAUAUAUCAAUGGAAUCUGAUCAUCCAUACAUAACAAAUUGAUGUGGUAUAUUCAUAUCAUAACAUAAGAUAUUGGGGAAGAAAAUUGAUUUAUGGAAGAAAAAUUAUUAGGGAAAAAUCAAUAUACCUUUAAUGCCGAAUCAAGAUCAAGUAGGACAUAAAUAAAGCAUUGGGUCGAACUCUUCUGAAAGGAUAGAAGAAUAGGACCUAUUAUCGUUAGAAGAAUGGGACCUAUUCUUGGGCAUACAAAGCAUUACAGACGUAUGAUCAUUACACUUCAACUAGGUUAUUCUAUUCCCAUCUUAAAAAGAAACGAACUUAAAUCAAAAUGGUUAAUAUUAAUAGCAUAGCAAUAUAUUUAUACAAAACUUCUAUCUUGGGAUAGAAGUUUUGUAUAAAUAUAUCGCUAUGGAGCCGUAGACAUACACGAAAUAAUUUGAUCUAUGGACGGCAUCAUUGUAAUAAAGGUUGUAAUGCUAGAGGAAUCAUUACCGCAUGGCAUAGAGCAGGAUUUUCAAAUACUCCAAUGAGUUGUAGUUGCCAUGGGUAAUUUUAAAUUUGAUUUACAAUGCACUACUUAUAAGUAAAAUGAGAAAAACGGUGCAUUGAAAACUGCAUAAUUCUCUUUAUAUUUUUUUAACAAGUUCAUAAAAGCACUUUUAAACAAAGUCCAAUUUGGAUAGGAGAAUUUUCAUUUGGCCCCACCAUUUUGAUCAUUUGCUUGCAGCCAUGCAAAGAAAGUGACCAGAUUUGGCCCAUAAAUUAUAAACAAGUUAAUAAAGACUUAAGUGGAAAGGACAAAUAGUAACUUCAACCUCAAAUAUUUCCCAGCCUGAGAGUUUCUUAGUAGAUCCACUGUUCCAUGUCGUGAGAUCAGCCUUUUGGAUGAGGAAUGAGUAGUGUGCAAAAAUCAAGAAUUCAUUGUGCAAUUGGCACGCGCCCACCCUACCAGAGCAGCCAUGGCCAGGAUCCGGAAGAAACUUGUUGUGGCCAUGAUGGUGAGCUCGACGGAGCUCAAGUGGCCAGCUCAAAGCAGGGACAGUGGGAGGGUGGCUUCUGGUUUCUUAUCAAUUUUAUUAUAUCCUCUUUCUCUUUCUCUAAACUUUUUAUUAUAAAAUCUUUUAAUUCUUUUCCAGACGUGGCGUUAGGUAGAGUCAGCUUUUAGUUGGUCAAAUCAAAUGAAUUAAUAAAAAUGUUCCUUAUACAAAUUUGAAUAGGAUUCAGUUCGUACUAUUUAAAAGUUUUAGGUCAAUUACAUUUGCUUGAUGAAUUUUAGAAUUUCUGAUGUAGGUACCCCUUUGUGUAAAGGUAAUACUCAUCCAUGAAUAUAGUCCAGUGAACUUCUAUGGUACUUUAACAGUUGAAAGCGGGUGAAGCUUUCGUGACUAGUAGGGAAACCGUAGGCCAUCCUAUGGAGAUGAUGAGAGGAGAGGUUUUCAUCAGUAGAGAUAAUACCACUACCAGCACUUGCAGCAAUCAUUACACUCUAACGAAACUAGAAAGAUGAGACAUACAAGCCAAUGACUCAUGAAACAUAACUCUGCAUCUGUCCAAUCUUUUUAUUGCUCAAAAUAGAAAAUCACAGAACCAGAAGUCCAGUUCUGCGAAACACCAGCCUGGUCAUCAUCUCCAACUUUGAUGAUUGAAGACGACCCUUCAGAGAAAAUCCCACAUAAAACAUUGACCCAAGAAGGACAGAAUCAACAACCAAAUACAGCUAACAACUCAUAUAAAAAGGGGUAGAACAGGUCUAAUGUUACGGUCCCCGGCACCCGAUAAUUUAAACUAGACCCCUUUGCAUCACUGCUGGUUCCUCAUGGCAAGAACCUUGGCCAAAGCCGGCCGGGCCAUGAUGUCGGCCACCCAAGCGCUCACCUUGGGGCAGGCGUCGAACAGCUUCUUCACAGGUGAAGCCAUCAGGUUGGUCAGGGCCGGGAGGUGGUGGAGGUCGGCCAGGGUGAAGCAGUCGCAGCCCAAGUACUUGGACUGGCUCAGCCGGGCCUCGUAGAUGUCGAGGACCUUGGCGAGCUUGGCCUCGUUCUCCUCGACUACGGCGGCGUCCGUGGCCAUGCCGAACAUCGGCUUGAACACGAGCUCCCACUGCAGCUUCGACGCCACGGGGUCAAACUGGUGGGCCUCGACCUCCAUCCACACGCCCACGGUCGCCAUGGGUUUGCCCUCGCACACGAGGGGAGUGCCCUUGUCCUCGUAUACAUGAGCAAUGUAUUGAGUAAUUGCCCUGGAUUCUGCCACCACAAAGAACACAAUCAAGAUGUAAACUAUACUUCGCGUAGUUGUUUCUUGUUCAGUUGACGAAUUGAACACUCAAAGGUUGACUAAACACUUGAUCUUUCAUCAUGGUCGCACGAUCUAUCAACAAUCGAAUCAGCACCCUUUGACUAAAUACUUUCAUCUUUCAUGAUGGUCACACAAUAUAAUACACCACUAACAGAAAGACUUACCGAAUAGCUUCAAAUCUCCAUCCUCAAAGGCCGGGACUUGACCGAAAGGCUGCACAGAGAGAUCCAGAAACGUUAGAUCUGAGAGAGACGAAGGAGGGUUUCUUGAAAGAGCACAUUCAACCCGCCAAGACCGAAAAUCUGCGAGUAUAACGGUCGAACUGGUGGAGGGCAGGAACGGAGACUUACGUUGAGGGCGAGGAAGUGCUCCUUCUUGUGCUCGCCGGCCCGCAUGUCGACGGGGACGAACUCGAACUCGAGGCCCUUCUCGUUGAGGGCAAUAAGGACCCGCAUAGCCGCGGUGGAUAAGACGCUUCCGUGGACCUUCAUCACCAUGGUCGCUGGCUCUGCUUUCUUAUCUUUAUCUCCCUAUCUCGAAGCCUAAAUGUAGAACAGAUGCAGAACAGAUGUGCUUUAUUAUCUUUAUCUCCCUAUCUUGUUUUGGAAUGAUCUAAUUGACUUUUAAAAUUCGAUUUUUCUUUCCCAUUCAACGAGAUAAUUUUGCUUUUUUAUCUUUGUUGUUUAUACUUAGGAGAUGGAGAUGCAAAAAUGGCUCCUCCUUUUCUUUUCUCUCGCGUCCUUCCUUUCUUUUCCCUCUGCACCUUGUCAGAAAAAGGACAAAGUCCUUUGUUGACCUGUUGAAAAAAACGAGAGAGAACUCCCUUUUUUUUAAAUCUAACGUCCGCCCCCUCUUUCGUCCGUUUGCGAGCGGCUUUUAUGGGCGAGGUAUUAAGGCUUUCUAGAAUAUUUUAUUUCCUUUUUCACAUCGGAUUCACAUUUCCUUUCUCAACAUGCAUGAAGAUAUAUUGUCGAAAUAUGUACCCCACAUGCAAUAUUUCUUUUUAUUUUCCACAUCUCUUCUAGCCUUGUUUGAUUUCCUUUAUAUGCACUUCAUAUCUUUCCACAUUAAAUUAUGCAAAAAAAAAAGAAUAUUCUCCAUCGAUUUUUAUUAUAUAUUGCCAAAAAUUCAAGAUUAUAAUAGGAUUUUCUCAAAUUCUAAAUCUUGUCAAGAUGAGCUCGUAAUAUCUCCUUCUCACACUUGCCCUUUUUGAGAAUAUAUGAAUAGAUUACAUGAACAUACAAAAAAUCCUCUAUCAUAUCACUAAAAAUAUCGAAUCGUCAAUUCUUAUAAGUUAAUCUUUGGUCAUCAAAAAAUAAUGGGCUUGGGCCAAUUCCAUUUCAACGCAGGCUUAGUCCAACUUGCUAAAUUUAAGCUCAGAACCAUCAAAUUAAAUCCAUUCGUCACCAACCCAAUGCAAAUGUAAUAAAAAAAAAAAGUUCUCUUAAAACUACAUGUUAUGUAAUUUAAUUAUAAUUUUUUUUUGUUUAUGGGUUAAAAAUUAAUCUCUAAUUUUUAAAAGGGAAAACCUCAAAUAAGGAUUGAAAAUGGCUUCGUUUUCUCAAAAAAGAACCUAAAGUGAAGUUUGUCUCAAAUAAGGACCUAAAGUAGUCAUUUAGUCUCAAAAAAUGACCUAACUCGCCGGCCAAUGAACUAAUGCAUUUCUGAUGCGUAUUCCGGUGACCUAAUCAAGGUAUUUUCAUCCAAAAAAUAUUCUCUUUUCAUUUUCCUUUUCCCCUGUUCAUCUUCUCCAUCUGCGAGCAGACCUCCAAUAUCUCGCCAGUGAAGUAAUUGCCGACGAGAUCAAGCCACUUCAGCUUCUUGAGCCUUGCCACCUCCAGCGACAGCGGCCCCGUGAACUUGUCAUUGCCCAAGUGGAGUUCUUCAAGCUAGGUUAUCGCCUGUAAGACUUUGCUGGGGAAGAUCCCAAAGAGGUUGAGGAAUUGGAGGGAGGUGGGGCUGCCGAGCUUUGGCGGGAGGGUCCUGGUGAGGUUGUCGGUGGUGAGCGUGAGGUUGACGAGGUCACAAAGAAGGCCAAUUUUCGGGUGGGAUGUAGCUCGGGAGGCCGACGGAUGUGAUGUUGAGAGAGACGACCCACGAGCCAGCGUCGCAUGUGACUUCGGUGAAGGAGCAAUGCGGAAAGGGCGGUGGCAAGAAGGAGGAGGAGGAGUUGACCCAGUCGCUGAUGGCGGCGGAGGGAGGCUCGACCAUGGCGGUUUUGGGCUUCAAGAGCAUGUCCAGGUCGCUCUGUGCGAGGGAAGCAGAGAUGAAGAGGAGGAAGAAGAAGACUCCAUUGUAGGGCAGUUUCAUCCUCAGUGAGUUCGACGAGGCCAGCAAGGGCUCGCCGACCUCGCCGACCACUGGUAAGGGUAGGCGAGGGCUUGGCCCUCGCCUGCUGCCAACGCCUGCUACCGGCGAUAGGCGUUGAGCCCUCGCUGGCCUCAGGUGAGGCCAACCCACACCGGUCCCACGACCUUCGCUGGCCCUUCCCUACUUCCGAUGUCCUUGAUUUGGGCAAUGCCUAUCUUCGACGAAGAAGACGAUGAAUAGGGACAACCAUGGGUAGAUCAAGAAGAAGAUGAACAGGAUAAGGAAAACAAAAAGAUAAUAUUUUUUGGACAAAAAUACUCCAGACCAGGUCGUUGGAAUACGCAUUGAAAAUGCAUCAAUUCGCCGGCCGACAAGUCAGGUCCUUUUUUGAGACUAACUUAUGUGGCCAAGAGACCAUUAAAACUAUUUUUAUUACUCUUUUAUUUAUAGAAAAAAAUCUCCUUGUUAGUUUUUGUUGGAAAUAUGAUUUGUUUUUUUUAUUCUAAGUAUCUAAAUGCGGUUAAUUGAUUCUAUGAAUCCAUGAGAUUGGAUAUUAGGACAGUAGUAUAGGAAACAACAUAUUUUGUAUAUUCUUUCCUAUCGUACUCUUUUCUUGUAUUAUUAAUAGGUGUGUAAUACAUGUACAAACACAGCAAUACACAAUACAUAAAAUUCCUCCAAUUCAUUCUCAGUUUUUGUCAAUUUUCUUUCUCAUUUUCUAUCAGUUUCAUCUUCUACUUCAUGUGGGACUAAGGUUCCAAGAGACCCACAAGGCACUUCAAGCCUCCAAGAGUCCCACAUUGACUAAACAUUUAAAGAGCAGAGAUUGUCUAUAAAAUCUAAGCUAUGCAUAACUUUUAGCCAAAUUAUUCACGGCUUUCAUGGUUAAAGUUAAGUGUGAAACACACGAAGUGUGAAUCACAUUUGAAUAUUUUGCACGUGGAAACAUGUGUGAUUAGUUUUGUUGAAUUGCUCGAGAACCGAAUUGGAUUGAUCGGUCUGGAGCGCGGUCACUCUUUAGUGCAAAAAAGUAGAGCCGAUUUUGUUGGACCGGACCGGACCGGACCGGAACCAAUGGUCGGUCCGGUUCCCGGUCCUAGGACCAAACGGUCCGGUCCACGGUUUGCAAUUUUGGGAAUCGGUGCUCCCGGUCCGAUUCCCGGUUCCAAGGUGGAACCGGACCGAACCGGGAACCGAUCACCCCUAGCUGGCCCUUCCCUACUUCCGAUGUCCUUGAUUUGGGCAAUGCCUAUCUUCGACGAAGAAGACGAUGAAUAGGGACAACCAUGGGUAGAUCAAGAAGAAGAUGAACAGGAUAAGGAAAACAAAAAGAUAAUAUUUUUUGGACAAAAAUACCCCAGACCAGGUCGUUGGAAUACGCAUUGAAAAUGCAUCAAUUCGUCGGCCGACAAGUCAGAUCCUUUUUUGAGACUAAAUGACUGCUUUGGGGCCUUAUUUGAGAUAGAUUCCAUUUAAGGUCUUCUUUUGAGAAAAUGGGACCACUUUAGGUCUCUAUUUGAGAUUUUCCCUUUUUAAAAUGAUAAACAACUAAUCGUGGUUCUUUACCCAAAAAAAAAAAAAAAACAACUAAUCGUGGUUGUCAAAAUUUAUAUGUCAACACACCUCUUAGAAAUAAAAGAGCUUAAAUAAAAAUACUUAAUAUUAAUAGCAUGUUGAUACAUUUAUACAAAACUUCUACCCCGGGCACACGUAAUAAAGUCGUAGAUAGUCAAGUGAAAUCUAAUAUGCGAAAUAAUUUGAUUUAAGGACAGCAUCAUUGUAUUAAAGGUCGUAAUGCCAAAUGAAUCAUUACCGCGAGGCAUAGAGCAGGAUUUUCAAAUACUCCAAUGAGUUGUGGUCACCGUGGGUAAUUUUGAAUUUGAUUACAAUGCACUACUUAUAAGUAAAACGAGAAAAGUGGUGCACUGAAAACUGCAUAAUUUUCUUUAUUUUUUUUAACAAGUUCAUAAGAGCACUUUUAAAGAAAGUCCAAUUUGGAUAGGAGAAUUUUCAUUUGGCCCCACCAUUUUAGUCAUUUGCUUGCAGCCAUGCAAAGAAGUGACCAGAUUUGGCCCAUAAAUUAUAAGCAAGUUAAUAAAGACUUAAGCGGAAAGGACAGAGUAACUUCAACCUCAGAUAUUUCCCAGCCCGAGAGUUUCUUAGUAGAUGCACUGUUCCAUGUCGUGAGAUCAGCCUUCAGGACGAGGGACGAGUAGUGUGCAGAAAUCAAUAAUUGAUUGUGCAAUUGGCACGCGCCUACCCUGUAAGAGCAGCCGUGGCCAGGAUCCGGAAGAAACUUGUCGUGGCCAUGAUGGUGUGCUUGACGGAGCUCGAGUGGCCAGCUCAAAGCAGGGAUAGUGGGUGGGUGGAGUCCGUUUUCUUCUCAUUUUUAUUUAUCAUCCUUUUUUUUUUUUAGGGAAAAAGCCACCAAAAACCCUCCCAACUUUGCCUCGAGUGACAGAUUUACCCCGAACUUUGUUUUGUGACGUGAAAAACCCCGAAAUUUACUAACUGUGACACAUUUACCCCAAACUUUUAUUUGUGUGACAUAUUUACCCUAAAUCAUAAGGGAAUUUUGGUAUUUUUACUUUUAAAAACUUUUUUCUUUUUUUUUUUCUUUUUUUUCUUCUUCUUCUUCCUUCCUUCCGCCGGCCAUGGCGGAGCCGGCGUAGGAAGCCGAUUUUUGCGAGGGCCUCCCUACUAAAAUCAGGGGAGGUGCCCCUGGCGAGGGCACCCUCGCCCGACGCCGGCGUCGAGCGAGGGAGGCCCUCGUCCAAUCCAGUCGAGGGCUGCCCUCGCCGGACGCCAACUUCCCUCUGCCAGCCAGCCGGCGGAGGAAAGAGAGAAGAAGAAAAAAAGAAAAAAAAAAAGAAAAAGAAAAAGAAAAAAUAGAAAUAAUAAGACGAAAAUACCCUUAAUGGGGUAAAUGUAUCACAGUUAGCAAACUUCGGGAUUUUUCACGUCACAAAACAAGUUUGGGCUUUUUGGUGGUUUUUUCCCUUUUUUUUAUUCUCUAAAUUUUUAUUAUACAAUUUUUAAUUCUUUUCCAGAUGUGACGCUAGGCAGAGUCAACUUUUGCUUGGAUAGAAGUUUUGUAUAAAUGCAUAGCCAUGCUAUUAAGCCAUGCUAUUAAUAUUAAGUAUUUUGAUUUAAGUUUUUUUUCUUUCUAAGAGGUGGAAUAGAAUUUUAGUUGUCAAAUCAAAUGACUUAAUAAAGAAGUUCAUCAUAUAAAUUUAAUUAGGAUUCAAUUGUACUAUUUAAAAGUAAGUUUUAGGUGAAUUGCAUUUGCUUGAUGAAUUUUAGAAUUUCUGAGGUAGGUAUCCCUUUGUGUAAAGGCAAUGCUCAUCUAUGAAUAUAGUCCAGUGAAAGUCUAUGGUACUUUAACAGAUGAAAGCGGGUGAAGCUUUCAUGACUGGUAGGGAAACUGGAGGCCAUCCCAUCCUAUGGAGGUGAUGAGAGGAGAGGUUUUUAUCAGUAGAGAUAAUACCUGCACCCGCAGAAAUCAUUACACUCUAAUGAAACUAAAACGUCAAAACAUUUAAGCCAAUGACUCAUGAAACAUGACUCUGCAUCUGUCCAAUCUUUUUAUUGCUCAUAAUAGAAAAUCACAGAACUAAAAGUACAGUUCUGUGAAACACCAGACUGGUCAGCAUCUCCAACUUUGAUGAUUGAAGACGACCCUUCAGAGAAAAUCCCACAUAAAACAUCGACCAAAGGACAGAAACAACAACAAAAUACGAUUACCAACUCAUAUAGAAAGGGGUAGAAAAGGUCUAAUGUUAUGGUCCCCCAGCACCAGAUAAUUUUAAACUAGAGCCUGGGCUUCACUGCUGGUUCCUCAUGGCAAGAACCUUGGCCAAAGCCGGCCGGGUCAUGAUGUCGGCCACCCAAGCGCUCACCUUGGGGCGGGCGUCGAACAGCUUCUUCACAUGGGUCCCCAUCAGGUUGGUCAGGACUGGGAGGUGGUGGAGGUCGGCCAGGGUGAAGCAGUCGCAGCCCAAGUACUUGGACUGGCUCAACCGGGCCUCGUAGAUGUCGAGGACCUUGGCGAGCUUGGCCUCGUUCUCCUCGACUACUGCGGCGUCCGUGGCCAUGCCGAACAUCGGCUUAAACAGGAGCUCCCACUGCAGCUUCGACCCCACCGGGUCAAACUGGUGGGCCUCGACCUCCAUCCACACGCCCAAGGUCGCCAUGGGUUUGCCCUCGCACACGAGGGGAGUGCCCUUGUCCUUGUAUACAUUAGCUAUGUAUUGAGUAAUUGCCCUUGAUUCUGCCACCACAAAGAACAAAAUCAAGAUGUAAACCAUGCUUCGCGUAGUUGUUUCUUGUUCAGUUGACGAAUUGAACACUCAAAGAUUGACUAAACACUUGAUCCUUCAUCAUGGUCGCAUGAUCUAUCAGCAAUCGAAUCAGCACCCUUUUGACUAAAUACUUUCAUCUUUCAUGAUGGUCACACAGUAUAAUACACCACGAACAGAAAGACUUAC